rnacentral:rRNA from 1 species
AGAGUUUGAUUCUGGCUCAGGAUGAACGCUGGCGGCGUGCCUAACACAUGCAAGUCGAACGAAGCACUUUAUUACGAUCCCUUCGGGGUGACGAUUUUGUGACUUAGUGGCGGACGGGUGAGUAACGCGUGGGUAACCUGCCCUGUACUGGGGGACAACAGUUGGAAACGGCUGCUAAUACCGCAUAAGCGCACGAUGUCGCAUGGCAUUGUGUGAAAAACUCCGGUGGUACAGGAUGGACCCGCGUCUGAUUAGCUAGUUGGUGGGGUAACGGCCUACCAAGGCGACGAUCAGUAGCCGGCCUGAGAGGGUGAACGGCCACAUUGGGACUGAGACACGGCCCAGACUCCUACGGGAGGCAGCAGUGGGGAAUAUUGCACAAUGGGGGAAACCCUGAUGCAGCGAACCGCCGCGUGAGUGAUGAAGUAUUUCGGUAUGUAAAGCUCUAUCAGCAGGGAAGAAAAUGACGGUACCUGACUAAGAAGCACCGGCUAAAUACGUGCCAGCCGCUGC